GUGGGUCACUGUGGACUCGGCCUGAAGAGGGUAUAUAAGUACCGUUCCUUCUUCCGCCCUUGAUGCCACUCUACUCCUCACUGCUGUGCUGUGGACUGUUUCUCCUCUGUGACGCCCUUCUGCUGUGCUCCCCUGCAUUGGAGCCAGCUGACUACGGACUGAAACCUCUGCAACUAUUUCUGGUUGCUCCAGCCCCAUCUUUGAAAUGGCCAUGCUCUCCCCAUUGAAUUGCCUCUGUACCUUUGUUAAGAUUGAGUUGACUGUAUCUGUAUCUGUGUGAUCUAUUUCUCGACUUUGUAUUCUACAUGAUUUCUCUGUCCAUUCAUCUUUAUGACAGGCACUACACAGUCUUGAUUACUGUGUCUUUCUGUUUUAGAAGCAGCUCAUCAGAGUCUACAAAAUACCUUCUGUGUGGUUUUGCUUGGGACUGCCUUGAAUCUAUAGAGGAAUUUGGGAGAAAUCAGCGACAAUAUGGAACCUUCCAAUCCAUGAAUAUUCCAUUUCCCAAUUGUUUGUUGCUGG
ensembl:lncRNA